rnacentral:sRNA from 1 species
UCGCAGGGCACCUCUCGCUUGGCAGGUACUUAAUGGGAUACCAAUAUUUGAUCUCAUCUCAAUCGUGACUUGCCAAAGGAGAGUUGCCCUGUGA